AGCAAAUUCUCAUUGUUUUGGACAAAUUGCCUUUUUUUUCUUACCUUUCUUUACAUUUUUUAUUUUUUAUAGAUAGAUAGAUCUACAAUCUACAAAUGGAGAUGCUUUGGGACUGUAGCUACUCUACCAAGAAGUGGAUGCCAAGUCAAAAUAACACCAAGAGCACAACGAAGACUCAUUAAUGAGGGCCUGGCCAGCUUGUAAUGAUUGAAGGAAAGAUGAAUUCCCAAGUAUAUCAGACAAUUCUUCAGGAUAAUGUGAGAAUGUCCGUACGUCAGCUGAAACUGUGAAGAAGGUGGGUGAUGCAACAGAACAAUGACCCAAAACACCAGAGCAAGUCCACAACAGAAUGGCUUCAGAAAAAACAAAAUCCACCUUUUAGAAGUCAGAGCCCUGACCUCAACCCAAUAGAGAUGCUAUGGAUUGACUUGAAGAGUCAUACACAUGAGACGUCCAAGGAAUAUGACCGAGCUAAAGCAGUUCUGCCUGGAAAAUGGGCUAAAAUUCCUCCUCAUUGAUGUGCAGGUCUGAACCACAGAAACAGGAAGCUCUUGGUUGAAGUUAUUGCUGCCAAGGGGGGUCAACCUGUUAUUAACUCUUUCGCCGCCAGCGUUUUAAAAAAAGUUGCCAGCCAGCGCCAGCGUUUUUCAUGAUUUUCACAAAAGUUUAAUGCCUUCCAGAAAAUGUUCUUCUUUAAAUAUAUAAACAUACAAUAUACCAAAUGAAAGAACAGACCCUCUGCUUUCAAACAAAAUAAAAACAUUUCAUCCUA